CUCGUUCGCCGCCGCUCGCCCCUGCCGCUCCAUCCCUUCGCCGCCUAACCCUUGCAUCCCCCAACCCUCGACUACCUGUCCCAACUCUCCUCCCUGCGCCGCCGUGGGUCUCGGCCUCCCUCCUCCCUGCGCCGCCGCGGGUCUCGGCCUCCCUCCUCCCUUCGUCCAGGCAAAGAGAGGGCUGGCCUUGGCGCCUUGCCACUUUGAUGGCAAUCUGCCUUAUGAUCCGCCGCCGAUCCCGAUCCGCCGCCGAUCCCGAUCUCGCAUCGGAGGAUUUGAUUGACUUCUCCUCUCCUCUCUUCCACCUCUCUUCGUCGUCGGAUCCCCGCGACACAUGCCCAGAUACGUCCGCAAACCGCCGGCGACGAGGUGUAUGGUGCCGACAUGGCCGUGCUCGAGCGCCUCCAGGACCCCGCAGAGGAGAAUCAAGGCGUGGGGCCUCCUGGACUCCGUCCUUCGCCGCUUUGUCGACGACGUCCCUGCCGCCGGGCAGGAAGGUACUCGAUGACGUACUCGAUGCCCACCUGCAAGGUCAGCCCCCCAUCCUCCCGGUCCUUCCCAGCAAAUAGAUCUGGUAAAAUUUGAAUAAUGAUCUGGACUUCAACGAUUAAUUAAUCUCCUGGUCUCUAAUGGGAACUUUUUUGUUACUGAACUUCGUAGUUGGUUUGCAUAAAAUCUGAAGUUUGUCUAACAUAUUUUACUUGAACACAGUUCGCUUCAGAAUUCUAUUUUAUGUGAGCAUUACUUUCUUGGGGUAUCUGAUUUACUUGGAGGAGUAUUUAAUUACACGUAUGUGUAGUACAAGUUGUUAUUUCGCAAUAAUUUUGAUGGCCUCUAAGCAUCAUUGUUCAUGUCUAUUAUUAUUUAUGAAAGCUACAUGUCUUGGAGGGAAGUUGCGACUUGAGGGAGUGAGCUCCCAUUCUCUCAAUUUCUUGGCAUGGCCAUGCUUGCAGUACUGAUAAGGCAUGCUUCAAAAAUGGAGGGAGGACCUGAGCUGCCGCCUUGGUUCCUGUCCGCACCAGCCGCCACAGUAUGUAAUCAGGCCUCCACUAUCGUCCUCUGAAUUUUGGAUUACAUGCAUCUACAAGAGCGUGAGAGUUUGAGAGGGUAGCACAGUGCUACAUAGAAGUUAAUUUUUCUCCAUGAAGUUGAUAUGAUGCGAAGCUGCUGCCAGAUUGAAGGUUAAUUGAGUUCUCAUCUCCAAAAUGUUUGCAUUGUAAGUAUCCUCUUUGAUUCAGCGGUUCCAUGAUGCUACAGUUCACUUUGUUUUUCACCUCUUGAUGCUGCUAUACACAGAAGGUGUUUGCUAAUUUGCACAUUAAAAUUUUUAAGUUUAUCUGCACAUAUUGAUAUUAGCUUGAAUUUUGAACAAGAAAUAGUUUCUUAAUACGUACUUUUGAAUUUUAUGCACUUGUAUGUACACUGCUACUAACGGUGCUCUUGAUCAUGUCAUACACGAGUACUAAUGGUGCAUGCCUUAAUAUUGGAAUGGAAUGAAUACCAGCUUAUGUAGAGAAGCGAGGCCUUUUCGUAUUUGAGGAAGAAUGUCAUGCAACCAUUCAAGAAGAAUAGGAUGGGUAUUCCAGUAAUCCUAUGGAUUAGUCUCUAUAGUUGUUGGCGGCCUAUAAAGCAGAGGUAUCUAUGACUAAAUAAAUAAAAAUUGAUGACUUACUAUUUUACAAUAUUAGUUUCGACUAUAGUGUUGCUGACUAAAUCAUGCUACCUCUCAUUAUUGCGGCGUCUCGCUAGCAGGGUAUUCCCAUUUAGAUUAUGUUUGCCCUUUCGAUCACCGGCGCGGCUGUAGCAGUCUAUGUAGGCGUCGGCGGCAGUAGGGGGGAGGGGACAUCGGAGCCGUCGGUGAUAUCGGAGGAAUCAAUCUAGCCGACCAUCCUUUGAAUGACACAGUUUUGCUACCUCCCACUGAUAACCUUUAGGAGCUAUGGAGAGGAGGGUUAGGAGGGAAGCGAGCCAGCGGCGUGAAGAGAAAAUGUUAGGGUCACAAUAGCAAACGAGUUCAUCUUGCCUGGGUUGCGCUGAUAAGAAAGAAGAUAGAGCUUCAGGUGAGGCAUGUCGUCCCUAGGAAUUUGUUGGUAUCGAGGAUUGUUCCAGGAAGCACUUCUGAUGACAACAUGAUGUUGGGCCUCGGGGACAUGGUAAGCUACUUAUGUCACAAUUUUCAUCCAUUCAGACUUGUUUUUGUGAUUCUUGUACUACCACUGAUCCAUAUAUGAUCUCUUAUACUCAUCAUUUAAUCCUGCUUAAAUUAUAGUAUUAAAGGUGGUUGUACUUUAAAAGGUCUCAAACUUGUGCAGGUAACCAACAGAAACAUAUUGAAGCACAUUGUUGUCAUCAUCCACUUAGUGCCCGUAGGGUCACGCUCAGCAGCAACGGUGCACGGCGAUGGGAAAGACGCAGGGGUGGCGGGAUCGUCACCAGUGGGGCCGUCGGGGAGAAGAUGGAGGCAGAUAAGAAAGGAACAGGCUCGGUUGGGUGUGAAAAGGAGAAUGAGAGAGAUAGCGAUGCCGAUGAUGUGGUGCUGCACCACUGCUCUCCUACUGCUAGCUGAAUUUUGGUAUUGUUGCUGCUAUCUGAAUUUCGCACACACACGGCGAGGUGUUUGAUGCUGGCCGACGUCGCGCUUGUCAUGAGGGGGGGGGGGGUCGUCGUUGGGAAUCUUCUGUCAGAGGUGCUGCCCUGCGAAGUAAGAGGCAUCCCUCUCCAUGUGCUCGACGCCGCCACCUGCAUAGGGCACACUCCGACCAUGCAACCGCCAAGGUCGCCGACCACAUCGUGCACGUCCACGCCAUCGACCUCGGCGGACGGUGCCGCAAUGUUCGUCAGUAUGUCCUGUUGGUCGAGGAGCGCGAAGGAAGUGGGCUGAGGGAAGUGGGGGCGGCGGCAGAAGCAGCAUGGGUGUCCUACGGUGAGCGCUUUGAGGGAUUCUGCAGAGCAGUUCUCCCCGGAGGCCUGAUGCAUCCAACCGUACAAGGAAACUUGAAAACUACACCACAACUCUUAGGCUUGCCAAAAUAUGAGGAUUAUCACUCAGUCAUGAGCGAAACUGGAUGUACCCGGUAAGGAUGGAGGCGAGAUGGGGCCAUAGAGCCCCCUUUUGCGCAGGAGGGAGUAUGUCUGAGCCGAAGGCAACAAUUGUGGCCGCUUCCAGAGCCGAAGCCACCUGCGGAGUCAAUGUCAUGGUCGCCCCAGAGCGGAAUCCAUCGCCUAGGCCACAAGAGUAGGAGCUGCUGUCGCGGAGGUCAUCUCUGAACCUAUACUGAACUUUCUAUGGAUGGAGGUCAAGACCAAGCUUUAGGCAGGAAAAUGGGACAAUCUUCAGUAAGCUACAAUGUUCAUGUCUUCUUAUAUCAUUUGACUGAUGUGUUCUUGUAUCAUUCUUCUACUUUCGGAGCUAUUACUGCGAUCAUUUUAACCUCAUGUCUUCUUAUAUCAUUUGACCUUAUCUAGAUAUUAGUGGUUCUUAAUCCAGCAAGGUCUUGAAUAUUUUUCGCUUUGUCCAUUCAAAAUUUUGUUCUUCUAGCAACGUUCAUGGUUUAAGCUUUGAUUCGAAAAACAACUUUCAAUUUUAUAGGAGACACAAAGAGCAACAACAAGCCGCUGUAGAUAUUAUGUAGUAGCAACAUUAAUGAUCUGCUAAUGUUAUAUUUUCUUCUUCUUUCCUUAAUAUCUACAUGACCAACGUGUAUUUUUAAUGAUCAAACAUGCACAUGUCACAUUAAGAGGUUGAGAGUAGCUCAAAAGAUAUGCAUACAUCCUCUACCUUUUACCUAAUGAAAUAUUUCUAAAGCCAUAGUAGAUGUCAGGUGUAAAUUCCAUGAAGAACUGUUGGUUUUUGUAAUUAUUUCGUGAAACUUUCAUUGUAGGGUUCUAGGUUUGGUGAAUAAGCAGGGUUGUCUUCUUUCUUUAGUAUCUGCAUGAUCAAGUCGGUCUGUACUUUUAAUGAUCAUACCUGCACAUGUCACAUUAAGAUUGAAUAUAUUGUGACUUUUCUAACCAUUUCUUGUUAAUUGCUUGAGGAAAAACUAACAGGAAUUUUUUUCUUAGAAAUCCCAAGGAAGUAAUUGUUCUCACUGUUUUGGUAAAAUAACAUAUAUUUUUGUUGUAUGUAUACUUAAUUUCAGGAGAUGUAGAUUUUCUUGUUAUCUUAUAUAUGUUCCUUUUCUUUUUAUUUCUUGUGAAAAAUGAGUUCAACAAGGGCUCCUCAUUCUAGCCUCCUGGGGUUGAAAUGAUUACUCCUUUAAUUGAUUUGAAGAUUGUUAAUUUUUUAUAUUUGGAAACGCUUGGAAGCUUUCCUUUGUUUUGGCGUUAUGAAGAUCUUAUGCUGCAGGGAGAUUUCACCGAUGCCACAAAGAUGCUGCUGCAUCGAACGCAUAGGAUAAGAUGAUAUUAAGAUGCCAAAUAGCAGGUUGCUUCAAACCAGGGGAACUGACUGGUUCAUAGAUGGUAGAACGUUCAAUCUUCGACGAUGCUCAGGGAGCAAACAAGGGGAAUUAGGGAAAAGUAUAUUUUUCGUCCCUGGACUCGCUCAAAAGUAUAGAAACGAUCCUUCAACUUUAAAACCGGCAAAUGUUAGUCCCUCAACUUCUCAAACCGGAUUAUUUUAGUCCCUUGACUCAACAAAAGCUGUUUUCAUGCUUACUUGGCAUGGUUUUGACCAGUCAGCACCCACGUGGGAAUCUUCUUCUUUUCCAUUUUAACUCGGCUGGGCAUUUCGUCGAGCAGUUGGCGCCACCAGGCAACAAGAGGAAGAGGUAGGCAUGGAGCUUGCGUGGCUAUCGGCGGCGCACGCAAAGGGUGCAGGAGGCCAGGGAGCUGCGCUACAGUUAGUUUUCUGGGACGAGCGGGGCUGUCGCGGCUAGCAGCACUGAGGCACGCGGCGGCUUGGCCUUCACGGCGAACUCGUAACACAGUCAGAACUAACUGAUGCUCGUGUUGCCGCCUCGUGCUCAUGGUAUGCCUCUGCAAUUGUCGGCGACCGCGCCGUUGAUGUCCCCGCGUCAUCCAGUUCUCGUUCAAAUCCAUCACUUGCGUGAUGUGGGUCGUGGACAUGGCGUGGACAACGGCGCGACGGCGGGGCGCACGCUUGUCGCCGCUCCAGCGCCGUCAGCCGCACCCGCUUCGGCGGCUCGCCCGGUUUGCCGUUGUUGCUCGGCCACACAUGGGCGAUGACUGGUGAAACCAUGCAAGUCAGCGUGAAAACCACUUUUAUUAAAUCAAAGGACUAGAGUUAUCCGGUUUAAAGAAUUGAGGGACUAAGUUUUGCUGGUUUUGAAGUUAAGGGACCGUUUCUAUACCUUCGAGAGAGUUUAGGGAUGAAAAAUAUACUUUUCCCUACUUGCUAUGAUGUUCGAAUUUGACUGUUCUGUCGUAAUCACCAAUCACCACAGUUAACACACUACACAUGAUUCUU